UAGGGAAUCUUCCGCAAUGGACGCAAGUCUGACGGAGCAACGCCGCGUGAGUGAAGAAGGAUUUCGGUUCGUAAAACUCUGUUGUUAGAGAAGAACAGCGCAUAGAGUAACUGUUAUGCGUGUGACGGUAUCUAACCAGAAAGCCACGGCUAACUACGUGCCAGCAGCCGCGGUAAUACGUAGGUGGCAAGCGUUGUCCGGAUUUAUUGGGAGUAAAGCGAGCGCAGGCGGUCAAUUAAGUCUGAUGGGAAAGCCCCCGGCUCAACCGGGGAGGGUCAUUGGAGACUGGUUGACUUGAGUGCAGAAGAGGAGAGUGGAAUUCCAUGUGUAGCGGUGAAAUGCGUAGCAGUAUGGAGGAAAAACAGUGGCGAAGGCGACUCUCUGGUCUGUAACUGACGCUGAGGCUCGAAAGCGUGGGUAGCAAACAGG
rnacentral:rRNA from 1 species